UUUUCUAUCCCAGCAGGCCACGGGAGAGGAUACGUCAUAAUCGAACACGGAGGAGAAAAGCGGCGCGGAUGCUGUCAAAUAGCUUUGGUGGAGCAGGACCUGCAAGAAAAGCUGACGACAGUAUUUGUUAGAAAAAAAAUAGGAAAACCUGAAACAAAAUAAAAAUAUAUAUAAAGAUGUGAAUGUCCUCAGACUGGUGAGAGCACUGAGGAUGGAGAGACACAGCAGAUCCUGGGAAUGGUUCAGUGUCAGGGACGAGAUCCUCCAUCACUCCUCCUUCCAAGUGACUCGAUCAAGGACACACUGGAGGAGACACUGCAGAGAUCGAACCAGCAACCUUCUGCUGACCAGCUCAGUGGUUUAGACCACCACACCACAAAACUAAUGAAGCCAUGACAAGAAUUAGCAAUUGAAAAAUAUGAAAUGAAAUAUGCAAGAAACAGAAUGCUGACAUGAAUUAAUUGUAAAAUGUU